rnacentral:lncRNA from 1 species
CAACAGAAAUGUUCUAUUUAUAAGUCUUAUCAAGGUAUGUAAUUUGUAUCAUUAUUUCGUUGUAUAUUACAAUCACAAUUUUAAUACACAGACAUCCGCACAAUCACAAACACACAAUAGUGAACUGAAAAUGUAGUAAUAAUUUGUUUAGCUUUUUGUAUUUUAUUUUGAUGAACUCAGUUAUUUCAUGAGAUAUGUUCGAUCACAUUGAAUUGUUUACUAUACAAGGGUCUACAGGAUUUAAAAAAUAUGGCCGUUUUUAGCCCCACAGGACGCAAUUACGACUGGACACAAUUACGAACGAUUUCCAAUGUUUGCCCUCUGAGAUCAUAUUUGUUUAUAUUUAUCAAUAAAUGUUUUUAUAAAUAAAAACCUAUUAAAAAUCCCCUUGUUUCAUGAUAAAUACAAUUUAUGUGCACUUGGUGAAUGUUGAUGACGAUGACAAAAUCAUUCUGAAAAUAUUAUAAGAACGGCAAUCUGACCUGGAAGUUAUAUAAAAAAAUGAUAAAGGUAAGUGCAUAUUGCCUUCUUUUGUUAAUAUAUAGAAGAAAAAUAAUCUCCUUAUUCUGUUCAUAUGCGUGAUGCCUUUAUCAUGCCAAAUAACCCCACAAUGACGUUUUUUAGACUCUUGUGAACCUAUUUAUGGCCAAAAGAAAUAUGUUAAUUUUAUUGAAAAAAUCCAGAAACUCCGAAAGAAAUGUUGACAAUAUAAAAAAAAUCAUAGAUGAUGAAUAUAAGUACACCACCGAAAUGGAUAAACUUGAAUUAAGUGCUCCUUUAAAGGAGGAACUUACACAAAAAAAAAAAAAAAAUCAGAAAUCUUUCCUUUACACAUGACCGACAUUUCGUCUGCAACCACUGCUGAAGUAAUUGAAGUAAAAAACAAACUUGUGCUUUUUAUUUUCCUAUGAAAAUGUGUUUGAGAUAAAGAUUAAUGUAUGCUUGAUCAAUCUAGACUCUUGUCAUUGAUUUCUUCUGCAAGAUAUAUCAAUAUAAUGCUGUUCGGUAUUGCGUCCAUAUGUGGCUCUCUUGACCCGUAAAACGAGGUCACGCAAAUCUUACUAAAGUAUCCCAACGUGCAUAAAAAUUAAUGUGGGAUAUGAUGCAAAAUGGAAAGCCUUUAUAUAUCUUAAAUUCUAUGGUAUAGAAAAUUCAAGAAAAGUAGUCUACAUAAAAAAAAUAUUAAUCACAGUUCAAAAAUCGUUCGUAAUUGUGUCCGGCUAACAAACAAAAUCUACUAUGAGUACGGACAAACUAAGACAUCGAAAACGUUUUAAGACAUGGUAGGAACUAGAUAUAUAAAAGUUGUAUGAUAUCUAUAAUGUUUCAGAAAAUUAAAAACUUACCUGGAUUUUGAUGUGCAUUUUUUUCCAGUCUACAGAACAUAGCAAUAUAAACAAAUACACGAGUUUUAUUUGAUAUGGCACCUUCUGCAGGGACGGGAAAAACGCAAAAUGUAGUUAAGUUAUUUAUAUUCUGAAACUUGAAAUUCAUUUAAAUUCUAUUUAUCUAGGUCAAGCCAUGCUGUAAAGCUUUUCCAGAUGCACAGCAUGCACAGGUUUGUCGGUACUCAAAGCAAAAUUUGUAGUGUAAACAUGGUAAAUACAGCCACAUUUGCAAAAAUGUUAUGAUGAACCAUAACCAAUGUUGUCUUUUAGAACUUUUUACUGCCUUUGAUGUAAGCGCUCUCACCUGUACAAUUCGGUAACAUUAUUUUAACAAACCAUUAGUCCCACAGCUAAUAAGUCCGACGGCCCAUUGAUCCGAAAACACAUUAGUCCGACAACCCAAUAAUCCGACAACCCAUUACUCCGACAGAACAAUACUCUGUUGUUGUUGUUAUUGGUUUUGGUAGGCGACUUACUUAUUUAUAUAUACUCUGUAUAUAUAUAUAUUUUGUCUGUAUUAUAACAUAUAUGCUAUACCAUAUGUACAGAAUUGAUUCGAAAUCUGUAUACUAGAUAUAUAGUAUACGUAAGUACAAUUUCUGUAUAGGAAACUAUUCUGUAUAACUCAGUUAUGAAUGUUCGCGCCUUUCUGUAUAUACAAAAAUCGUUUAUGUAUUUAAAGAAUUCCAAAAAAGGAUAUACAUAAGUGUUUAUGUAUGGAUAAGGACCGUGCAGUUGCAAUAAGCAUGUGUUUAACUCCAAGGCACUGACACACAUAUCCCGCAUGAGAGUAGUUUGGUCUUUUUAGAUAAGAUUUACCUAUAAACUUAUGGCAUAUGCAGUGUCGGAAUAAUGGGAUGUCGGAUUAAUAAUAGGCUGUCGGAAUAAUUGGAUUUCGGAGUAAUGGGAUGUUGAAAUAAUGGUUGUCAGACUACCCGGAUGUCUUUAACAAUUCUUGCCAGAUUUUUUUUAUCAAACUUCUAACAUAGGAUUACAUCAGGAAUGUCUUUGACAAGUUCAAAAAUCAGUGCUGAUAAUUUAGUUUCAAAACAGUUUUAUGCCACUUGGAAACAUUUAUUAUAUAGAAAACUGCAUUGUUAUUACACUCAUUUGUACAAUUCUUGCCAGAAUGUUAUAAAAAUUAUUCCAUAGAUUUUUAAAAACCAAUGUGUUAGUCGAGAUAAUUAAUCAUGCCAAUCAUUGAUUUUUCAAAGAGUUAUACCCCUUGGGAAAAUUAGUUAUAUGAAAAUUGCUUUUUGAGCCUUUCAAUGCAUUUCACGGGUACAAAUCUUGCAGAAUACGCAUAACAUUUGCAUCAUGUGCAUAGUCUGAAACAUUCAUUACCCUAAGAAAUUUAUUAAAAGUGUUAAAGAAAAAAUAAUCAACCGUCACCAUCACAAUCAUCAUCACAAUCAUCAUCACAAUCACCAUCACCAUCAUCAUUCCCAUAACCAUCACCAUAACCGUCAAAUCACCAUCACUAUAACCAUCACCAUCAUUAUUAUCAUAACCACCACCAUAACCAUCAAAUCACCAUUACUAUCACCAUUACUAUCACUAUCACCAUAACCAUAAUCAUCACUAUCGCAGUAGCCCCCGCAGUAGCCACAGCCGACAACGAUUUGAAUAUGUAAAGUAUGCACUUAUGUACAUAUAAUCUAUUGUAGAAGUAUGGCAACCAAUUCCAGUAAUUGUGGUGUUGGUGAAAAUCUGCAAAUUAAUGAACAGUCAGUAGUAUGGUGUUCCAAAUGUGAUGAAGGACUCUGUGAAGAAUGUACAAAUCAUCACGCUGUUUCAAAUGCAUCAAAAAGCCAUGAAACCGUUUCUAUUGCCGAAUACAAAAAGUUACCGACCGAAGUCAUACACAGCGCUCAGACUUGCAAACUUCAUAAUGAGAAAUUCGAACUUUUCUGUAGAGAUCACGAUUGUCCAUGCUGUCAGAAAUGUGUGAAUUCUCACAACGAUUGUAAAAGUUUAACGGACAUAAAUGAACUCAUAAAGAACAUAAAAACCUCAAAUGCUUUUUACGAAUUCGAACAAACCCUGCUGGAAGUUGUCCAGAAUAUUAAACAACUCCGCACUAACAGGAGAGAAAAUCUAACAUUGCUAGAAAAUAAGAAGAGAGAAAUUGAAGCAGAAAUAAAACAAAGCAGGAUACAUAUAAACCACCACCUUGAUAAACUCCAGGAUGACUUGAUUAAAGAAUUAGUGAGAGUUGAACAAAAAGAAAAUAGAAAAAUAGAAAAAUUAUUGACUACUCUAAAAAAGAAGGAAUCAGAUAUCAUUGAGGUACAAGAAAACAUUGCCACUAUUAAACAGCAUGCGCCUGAACUUCAAACAUUUUUAACCAUGAAAAAUAUCGAAAAAGAUAUUGCAGUCGAAGAAACUUUUUUUCAAUCGAUUGCCACAAGUGGAUCCACAAAUCAAGUCAAUAUUUCAUUCCAGAUUAACAAGUCUUUACAGGAAAUCUCUGCCAUCGUACAGAAUUUUGGGGAAAUUAAUGUCAGUUCUGAUCCAUGUGAUUUUCCCAUCCAGAAACGGAAGGAUAGACAAGCCCAGAUUAUGGUAACCUUUCCAACCAGAAAUAUUGAUAACCUAACUCUGAAAUUACAGAAACGUAUCAAUACUGCAGGAUUGUCAAAUGUUCAUAGUUGUGCACUGCUUCCCGGCGAUAAGAUGGUAUUCUCCUGUACUAAGCAAUAUAAGAUAAAAGUAUUCAAGUCUGACGGAUCGAAAGAUUUCCAAAUUAAGAAAAUUGGUCCAACGUUUAAUGUGGUAUUUAUUGGUGAUGAUUCUAUUGCUGUAACUUCUGGCUUUGGAAAUCAGAUCAAUAUAAUCGACUUAAAGAAGCACAAACUGAAGAAAUCAAUACAAAUUGAUUCGUACAAUAGUGGAGUAGUUUACAAAGAUGGACAUUUGAUUUAUUGUGCUGGGAGUAAAGGACUACAAAUGAUCAGACUGAAUGACGAAACCAUUACAAAUGUUAGCAAUUCCGAACUCCGAGAUUAUGCGUACGUUACAGCAUUAGGUGAUAAACUGUUCUACACAGAUUAUAGAUAUCACAGGGUAACCUGCUGUGAUAACCAUGGUAUCACACUGUGGACGUUUGAGGAUUCAAGUGUUCUGAUGUCUCCAUUAGGUAUCUCUGUAGACAAUGAUGGUAACGUGUAUGUAGCAGGAAAUUAUACUCACAAUGUGGUCAUUAUCUCUCCUGAUGGACAACGCUACAGACAACUCUUAUCAAGCGAUGAUGGACUAAAAAACCCGUGGGGUCUGCAUUAUGACACAUCGACCAAUAAAUUGCUAGUUGCAAAUCGAUUCAAUGAAGCGUUUUUAUUUGACAUUAAAUGACAAUAAAAGAAGAUUGAUUUUUCCAAACUCGACUUACCGAAUUUAUUAUUUGGUAGAUCUGGAUUACUAACAAGGUUUUAAAUGAAUUAUUGCAUUACGUGUGAUUUGUUUUUUACAUUUCGUUGUCAGCUAAUUGUUGACUUAUGAGCUUCAAUGUCUCUAUAGUAUAUUUUGUCUCUCCUUUUGAGACCGGUAUAAAUAUGUGCAUGUUUCUUAUCGGUAUCAAUAUUCAUUCCUGUAUGGAAAAGUUGCAAUGAUUUAAAUGAGAUUGCCAUGAAUUCCAAAGAUUUUUGGAUUGAAAAAAAAAUACAUGGUAGUGGUUCAAAGUAGAGAAAAACAGGAUUUGGGUUAUCCAUCCAUCACACAAAAUCAAUACAUGCAUGUAGAAAACAAAACUAUUACAAAUCAAAGAAACAACAUUUCUUCAUCGCAAAGUCAUAAUGUUUCCUUCAACAUGGAACAACAACAAAUUUUUCACCUCGCUGCAAGUUAAAGACGUCCCCUAGUGCAGCUUUACUGGAAUUGUUUGCAGAAUGAACUUUAUAAGAUAUAACACCACAAAAUUGGCAUGGUCGAAUUAACAUAUUGGAGAAUAGUAUACGUAUUUAAAACAAAACAGGGUGUAUACUCAUACAGUACAUACACUUGUAGUCUUAUUAUUUAAUAUGCAUGAAGAAUUGAAGGUUCGGGCUAAUUAUCAAUGAGACAAGAACCCAACGACAAAGUAAAUCAAUUCAAUAUAAAUGAAGAAAAAGGCGAUUUCUACUGAACCUUUACUUGCAUUAAACAAAGAUUGUCGCUUAGUCAUUAUAACGCUACCAAUGAUAAUUAUGAGGUAAUAGCACAGAAAAUAGAGGAAUAUGCGAAUUAUUUUCGCUAUGGUGACCUGUACCAACCGGAACGAAUAUUUGUUUACGAGGAGAUAUUUAUCAAGAGCCAUCGCAAAGUUUGUUUCUCGUGGCGUUAGGCUGUAUAUUUAGGCAUACCGGUAUGCGCUUAGAUUUUCACUUCCCAUGAUGGCUAUACUGGUAAUGAGAAAUGGAAGAUUAAAUCCUCGAAAGGAAUAUGUGAGGUAUAAUUGGUUAAGUGACCCUUCCGGGAGCGGUCUUUUUUAUUUAUUGAAAUAGCUAGAGGAAUCUAUCCGAGAACAACCAAUAAGUUACAAUCUUUCUCCAGGUGGAAUGUUGUAGCCAUUUGGACAUGGCAGAUUGUUUU